AUCGUCGAGGGCGGAGAUUGCGGC
rnacentral:miRNA from 1 species